AGAGUUUGAUCCUGGCUCAGGAUGAACGCUAGCGACAGGCCUAACACAUGCAAGUCGAGGGGCAGCGGGGAGGUAGCAAUACCUUUGCCGGCGACCGGCGCACGGGUGAGUAACACGUAUGCAAUCCACCUGUAACAGGGGGAUAACCCGGAGAAAUCCGGACUAAUACCCCAUGAUAUGGGCUCUCCGCAUGGAGGGUCCAUUAAAGAGAGCAAUCUUGGUUACAGACGAGCAUGCGCUCCAUUAGCCAGUUGGCGGGGUAACGGCCCACCAAGGCGACGAUGGAUAGGGGUUCUGAGAGGAAGGUCCCCCACAUUGGAACUGAGACACGGUCCAAACUCCUACGGGAGGCAGCAGUGAGGAAUAUUGGUCAAUGGGCGAGAGCCUGAACCAGCCAAGUAGCGUGAAGGAUGAAGGUCCUACGGAUUGUAAACUUCUUUUAUACGGGAAUAAAGUAUCCUACGUGUAGGAUUUUGUAUGUACCGUAUGAAUAAGCAUCGGCUAACUCCGUGCCAGCAGCCGCGGUAAUACGGAGGAUGCGAGCGUUAUCCGGAUUUAUUGGGUUUAAAGGGAGCGCAGACGGGAGAUUAAGUCAGUUGUGAAAGUUUGCGGCUCAACCGUAAAAUUGCAGUUGAUACUGGUUUCCUUGAGUGCAGUUGAGGCAGGCGGAAUUCGUGGUGUAGCGGUGAAAUGCUUAGAUAUCACGAAGAACCCCGAUUGCGAAGGCAGCUUGCUAAACUGUAACUGACGUUCAUGCUCGAAAGUGUGGGUAUCAAACAGGAUUAGAUACCCUGGUAGUCCACACGGUAAACGAUGGAUACUCGCUGUUGGCGAUAUACUGUCAGCGGCCAAGCGAAAGCAUUAAGUAUCCCACCUGGGGAGUACGCCGGCAACGGUGAAACUCAAAGGAAUUGACGGGGGCCCGCACAAGCGGAGGAACAUGUG
rnacentral:rRNA from 1 species